rnacentral:lncRNA from 1 species
AUGCCUUACAAAUUGCAACUUGAGGGGGAGCUAUAGACUGCACUCUUUUUCCCUUAGCUAAGGUUUUUUCCCACUGGGUUUUUCUUUAGCAAGGUUUUUAAUGAGGCAAUUUCUCUCUCUCACAAGUUUUACAUCUUGUUCAAAAGAAUCCCUAAAUCGUAGAAGCAAGAUUGGAUCUAGAAAUGAAUAGAUUUGGCGACGGCGGCUAGGGUUUCGCCGCUUGUAGGAAUCUGCCAACUGCAGCAGCUCUUAUGGAAAAACUAGAGAGUCAUUAGUGGCCAUUUGGGGUGGGUGAGUUUAGUCCAAAUAACAAGUGGUUCUCUGCAGAUCGAACGAUUAAGAUUUGGGAUACUGGAUCAGGACGGUUAAGGUUGACACUAUAGAACAAGUUAGAGGUCUCGCUGUUAGCAUCAGGCAUACCUACAUACAUGUUCUCUGCUGCUGGUGAUGACAAACAAAUUAAAUGCUUGCUGGGACCUAGAACAGAACAAGAUUUUAGCUAUUUGCUUUUAAUUGAUUUACUUUUGGGUCAAUAAUCAGAUCUGUCAACUGGCUAAGUCAAGCUCUAAAGCAAUUUUCCUCCAAGUGAACUAUGAAGAACUCAAACCCAAUCUCCAUAUUCAUCUUCUGUCUUUUCUCAGAUUCCACAAAGGCCAAGAUUUGCAGCUUUAGCUGCAUUGUUUCAAUUGAAGACUUCGUAUUGCUGCAAGUUCCCUUUUUAGGUUGGAUGGCAGCAGCAGCUUUAAACCGUCUUCC